rnacentral:rRNA from 1 species
ACUCCUACGGGAGGCAGCAGUGGGGAAUUUUGGACAAUGGGCGAAAGCCUGAUCCAGCAAUGCCGCGUGAGUGAAGAAGGCCUUCGGGUUGUAAAGCUCUUUUGUCAGGGAAGAAACGGUGAGAGCUAAUAUCUCUUGCUAAUGACGGUACCUGAAGAAUAAGCACCGGCUAACUACGUGCCAGCAGCCGCGGUAAUACGUAGGGUGCAAGCGUUAAUCGGAAUUACUGGGCGUAAAGCGUGCGCAGGCGGUUUUGUAAGUCUGAUGUGAAAUCCCCGGGCUCAACCUGGGAAUUGCAUUGGAGACUGCAAGGCUAGAAUCUGGCAGAGGGGUGUAGAAUUCCACGUGUAGCAGUGAAAUGCGUAGAUAUGUGGAGGAACACCGAUGGCGAAGGCAACCCCCUGGGUCAAGAUUGACGCUCAUGCACGAAAGCGUGGGGAGCAAACAGGAUUAGAAACCCCAGUAGUCCC